rnacentral:rRNA from 1 species
AACGUAGGACACAAGCGUUAUCCGGAGUUACUGGGCGUAAAGGGCGUGUAGGCGGAUCGGUAAGUCUACUCUGAAAGCUCCUGGCUAAACUGGGAGAGGCGAGUGGAGACUGUCGGUCUAGAGUGAGGAAGAGGAAAAGUGGAAUUCCGCGUGUAGUGGUGAAAUGCGUAGAGAUGCGGAGGAACACCAGUGGCGAAGGGCGGCAUCCUGGACCAAUAUUGACGCUGAGGAGCGAAAAGCUAGGGGAGCAACGGGG